GAUAGAUGCCUGCACUCAAAUGUAAAAUAUGCAAACAUUCAAGCGAACGUAACUUUUACAUGCACAACUGUAUUUUUCCUCAUCUCAUCCAAAACUAGGAACAUUGGCAUAGGAAGACAGAAACCUCAGCUUUCAGAAUCCAAUAUACGAGGUGAAGAAGCAGUCAACACAACAAAGAAGAAAGGAGGAAAGCAAGUAGAGGAACAAGGAGGCAAAGGUCUUGCUUGACUCAUCUCUGCUGUGGUGACCUUGGAGGCUUCAUAUUCCAGAUUGCACAGCCAUAAGAUGAAAGAAGACUUCUCACUCACAUUAGACUCUGAGAAUCUCCAGUGUUGAAUAGAAUUGGCAAGUUUACACAUCUUUGUCUUCUCCUGACCUUAGGGGACAGCAUUCACUUUUUCACC
rnacentral:lncRNA from 1 species